GAACGCCGGAUCGCACAUCGCCUCGUUCGCAUCGAGGCACUGUUCCAGUUUGAGGCCGGAGGCGUCCUC
rnacentral:tRNA from 1 species